GGAUUUGAAGAAUAAACACAGUAAGCACAAAUUCAUGUGAGGAGACAAGCACGUGCACGGGCACACACACACACACACACAUACACGAAGAAGACGAAUGUCUCUCAAUGAUGGUCAUCAGAGGGGGUCGCAGAAUGCCCAGGACGGGGUGCCAUUCCAUUGCAGGGCACAAGCGCACACACUCAAUCACACAGUACAUCCAACUUGGAAAUGCCAAUUAGCCUAAUUGGCAUGUCUUCGGACUAUGGGAGAAAACCACAGUACCAAGGAUAAACCCACCAAGAAGGGACUCGAUCCCUCAACCAUGGAGGGAGUGAUGUCCAGAGAGAUCUCCUCCCAGGUCUUAGUGAUUCCCUCCAGUGACUGUGAAGAAAAGCACAAAAGGCAAGAAUUUAAGAGACCUAUUAUUGCUUCUAACACAAGAAGGCACCUCCCACUGUCUUUCUAAAUCCAGGCAAAGGUCAGAGCUGAGUAGGCAGCCGUCAGACUGAAGAAGGGCUCGGGAACUUUAUGAGAGGAGGAGACCAUUGAUCUGACUAACAACAGAGUCCUGUCUUCAUCAGAGAGAAGAUCAUUCUCGAAACACCAGCCACAUGGUGGAAUGCACUGUUGUCACUUCCCAUUUAUUCUCUCGCCACCGUUUUGUGUGUGUUUUUUUUUUUUUUUUGCUCUCAUUUUCUCUCUCUAUUGAACAUGACUUCUAAGUGAACUGUGGUGUGCUUUGGGGGUUCCAGGCUCUUCAAACAAGUCCGUCCUCCCACUGCUACUCACUGUGUUUUCAUAACCUCUGUGAGCACAGAGCAGCACGUCUGGGAAUCCCAAGUCAGAGAAAGAGUGAGAGGGUGGAGGAGAGGGAGAGAGAGAAACUCCCACAGUCUUCUGGCUGACAGACAGUCAGAAGAAGAGUCUCUUGGUUCUCCUCUGCAGGGCCAGUGAGGGCUGAUGUGCAAGGAAAUUAAGUGCAGGGCUCAUUUCCCCCAUGGCCACCACACAGGAUUUAGAGCUGCAUUCCCAGGAGAGACGUCUCAGCCAGUAACUACGCAGCAGUCAUCGCACUCAAGCCUUCUGGGCAAUCACUUAUCAGUUUUUGAACUGUAAAUUCUUAUAAUGGUGUUGACCCUCAUAUUUUACAGUACUGACAGUCCCCCAUCUUUCUUCUAAUCUUCAACUCUUCACAUAACUGAACCACUGAAGUCAUAGGUCCAGUUUUUAGUAGGUUAUGAACUGAAGGUCACUCAGAGGAUACUCUCUGACACUCCUGACCUCCCUGUCUCUUUAUUGUUUAAAGAGCUUCAGGAAUUUGGUGGCAGAAGCGCAAGAGCUAUAAAGAACUAUGGAAGGCUAAUAGUUAUGUGAGUAAACAGAAUGUUUGAAAGAUGUCAAAAAAUUUACUAAUUAAGCAGACAUACCUCAAGUGAUAAAGAGAGGGAAAAGCAGGAAAAAGGAGGAGUGUGAAGAGUCAUGAAGUGUGGAAACAUACACUGCUCGGCCAAAAAAGUCACCAUAUGGUCUU